UAGUGAGUCGUGGCACACAAACUGAAAUUGUGAGAACAUCAACUCCUACUAUAGCGCACACCUGCCCACCACUCGACAAAUCAAUGUCACCUGUGCCACAGACAGUGUCUUCAAUCCCCUCGGCCGAGGCAGAAUCCCCUCCCGAGAAAGAGCUUUUUUCCGAGGAACAGCUUUUGUCUGUGGAAGUGUCACACAUCGAGAAAUGGCCCCUACCCAAGGAAGAGCCUGAAGAGGGUUCCAUUUUGGAAACUGAGCCAGGCUCUGAAAUCCAGCUACUCCCAGAAUUGGAACUUCUUCAAGAGGAGAGAUCUUCGGAAGCAGAACGUACAUACACAACGGACCCUUUCCCAGAUGUAGAGCCUCCCUCACAAAUAGAAUCGGCUUCUGAGACAGGACUGUUUUCUGAGCCACCCUCUCAGGCAGAUGAUGGGGACAUCACCUACUGUCCAUCGCAGGGUGAAAGCUUUGAAAGUGCCGACGAGACCAACCCCCACAAAGAGCGGAAGUACAUUGUGUACGAGAGAUCACUCCUACGUCUCUUCAAGUUCUGCAGCCUUUGCCACUGCCCUUGCAAAACACCGAUGAGAACGGAUGGCACUAAACUAACGGUGACUACUGAGUGCGCAAGUGAGCAUAUCAGGAACUGGACGAAUGAACCGGAGGUGGCUGGCAGGAGUGCGGGGAAUAUUGUCCUUUCCUCUGCUGUUCUCUUCAGUGGAGCGAACCCCACCGUCACGUUAAGAAUGCUGCGGCUCAUAAACCUCCAAGUGAUGUGUGACCGCACAUUCUACAGGUACCAGGAGGGGUACCUUUUGCCAGCUAUAGCUGAUGUAUGGAACACAGAACAGGAAAAGCUUCUAGAAAGCAUGAGGAGCGCAGGAGAAGUGCACCUGGCUGGUGAUGGGCGGUGUGAUUCGCCGGGCUACAGCGCAAAAUACUGUACAUACAGCUUCUACUGCAAUUCUCUCCACAAGAUUGUACACACGGAACAAGUGCAAGUUGGUGAGUGUGAUGAGGUGAAAUCCAGCUCGCAGAUGGAGAAGGUGGGCUUUGUCCGAGCCCUCGACUACCUGCAAGAUGAAGGCAUAAACAUCAUGUCCAUUACCACAGACCGGCACAGUGCCAUUAAAAAGGAAAUUGCCACCAACCACCAGACCAUCACACACUUUUUUGACAGUUGGCACAUGUCAAAAGGAAUCACGAAGAAGCUCACAGCAGCCAGUAAGCGACCUUCCAACAAAAAACUAAAAAGCUGGGUUCAGCCCACCAGCAACCAUCUCUACUGGUGUGCUGCGGUUGGUGAAGGAGAUGAACCAACGGUAUUGGAUUUGUGGCAUACGAUUAAGCGGCAUGUUGUGGAUCUUCAUGAUGGCCACGAAGGUCACCUCACUCAGUGUCUGCAUGGUCCCCUGACAAACAAAGAGUGGCUUAGCCAAGGAUCACCAGCCUAUGAAGCAUUUCUGAAAGUGGUGAUGGCACCAACAUUGUUGCGUGACCUCAAGAAAGUGUCACCAUCAUGCCAGACAUAUGGACUAGAGUCGUUUCACAGCGUCCUAAUUAAAUUUGCACCGAAGUCGCUUGCUUUUUCGUAUGAGGGAAUGCGUGCCCGUACCUACCUCGCCAUUUUGCACUUCAAUGAAAAUAGCAAGCGACUCCAGGCCCAAACCGCUGAGGGAGAAGACAGGUGGCAUGUGAAGGCCCAAAAAGCCCGGAAAGAUCACCUGGCAGCGUUCCCCCUCACAACGGAGCCAACGUACGAGUAUGUGGACACUUUGUUCGACGAAGUAUUGGAACGGCUCCAGCGUCUGCCAUCGUUCAGGGAAGCCAACGCUGAAUUCUCAACACUCCCCCCACCACCUCCACCCAUGAUUGCAAGGGUGCAACCGAGGCCCUCCAAACAAAACCUCGUAGCAGUCCACAAGUCACGGUUUGGGAAGAAUUAAGUUUGACACCAUCCGCGCCACUGCGGGCACUGAGCUGCGUGUCGAUUGCCGGCUAGCUUUGUUUGUGUCCUAAGUACUGCAAUCUAUUGAAGAGCUGCAUGUCAAAGUAGAAAAAAAGAAUGUGUGUAAUUGUUUGUCAGAUUCUUUUCUGGUUAUGUUGGGCAUUCUGCAGUGCAGCAUUCUUAAUCCUCGUUUUUUUUUUAAUCAUUGUAAAUAAUGUUUUUAUGUAUGACAUAUUCGAACAUGCAGUUAUUUUGUGCUGACAUAAAUUUGUUCCAGGUGAUGUAUAAUGUAAAGGGCUGUGUAUCUCUUCAGUGCAAUGUGUGUUCUAUGUUCAUGGGUGCUGUACUAAAGGUUCUUAGAAGUUAAUAC